rnacentral:rRNA from 1 species
GACGAACGCUGGCGGCGUGCUUAACACAUGCAAGUCGAACGGAAAGGCGCUGCUUGCAGGGUACUCGAGUGGCGAACGGGUGAGUAACUCGUGGGUGAUCUGCCCUGCACUUCGGGAUAAGCCUGUGAAACUGGGUCUAAUACCGGAUAGGAGCCAUUUGUAGUGUGAUGGUUGGAAAGUUUUUUCGGUGUAGGAUGAGCUCGCGGCCUAUCAGCUUGUUGGUGGGGUAAUGGCCUACCAAGGGGGCGACGGGUAGCCGGCCUGAGAGGGUGGACGGCCACAUUGGGACUGAGAUACGGCCCAGACUCCUACGGGAGGCAGCAGUGGGGAAUAUUGCACAAUGGGCGCAAGCCUGAUGCAGCGACGCCGCGUGGGGGAUGACGGCCUUCGGGUUGUAAACUCCUUUCGCUAGGGACGAAGCUUUUUGUGACGGUACCUAGAUAAGAAGCACCGGCUAACUACGUG